UCCCUGUCCUACCUCAGGAGUGACAUUGGCGUCAUCUAUGAGGCGGUGGCUUCAGUCCCGCAGAAAGUGGGCUCCAUCGUCGACAAGUUCUCGGUCUUCCAGACGAAAAUAAUAGACGAGCUGAGUGAAACUUGGGAUCGAACCGUCGACACCAUCGUGUCGGCUCUCCAGCCUCAGAUCUGCACUGCUCUGAGCUGUCUGAACCUCACGGUUCAUUGGUGAACCCAUUAACAGGCUUCUUUCUGUCUUAGGUUCUCUUGAUUAUUGUUGAACAGGCAUAUCUUGUUAGCAGCAGUUCUAUUUACAGGUACGUUUCCUAUAACAAUAAGUGUGUCAGUGCGUUCGUUCCCUGUGUUUGAGGGCGGCGUGCCAUUAGAUGCCAUCGGUGCACAGCACCACCUGCUGGAGGUGCAAGAGACGAGGGGGGCGUACAGGAGGAUUACAGGCUCAUCCGGGCGGAGCUUGGGAAGAUGCAGGACCAUCUGCGCAGCCUGCAGGUCAGGUGGUCCGUGUCAGUGGCGUUCUGCACCCUGGAGGAGCCGUGGUGAUGUACCCCAGGCUUUAUACCCCUUCCACCUACAGGACCAGCUGAGGAUGGCCUCUGUUAACCUGCUCCACGCCGUUGCGGGAAUGACGUUCGUCUUCUCCUGGCUCUUCAUCAUCACGGUCUUCGUCAACCUGUUCUUCUGAGGCAACGC